AAUCCCUCGAUCAAUGUUUAAAUUAACACUCACGCAUUGACUCUGUCGGCUAUGUUUUGCCAUGCAUGCUUUUGCAGCUGUGGCUGUGUUACUUUUUUCCGCGGAAUUUGCAUGUUAUCGGCAUAUGCUGCCAUCAGAAUUUCGGCCUCAAGCGCUGUGAAAUACAUUGACCGCGCCUUCUUUCCCUCCGUCUCCAUGGUGACUCGCUUAAUCUGUGCUCCACUAAUCAGGGCUUUAUGUAUCCUCGUCCGCGCGCUUCACUUGGGGUUAAAGCAACUCCGCGUUGACUGAACUAAUUGUUAUCAGCCUUUCUGAAACCGAAUAUUCCGAGUUGGACAGUUCGGGGUUACUCAACCGUGAGUGUCGUUUUUCACUCUGAGUUUUCCAAACCGGCUUCCUGAAACAGGGCCCUGGUCCCCGCACCUCGCCUGCUGACAUUAGUCAGGCGCUAUGUUUUGUUUUGUUUAUCCUCCUCUCUCGCCUCUGCUCUCUCUUUCUCUCUCGUUCUCUCCCACUCUCUCUUUCUCCUGCCGGGGCGGAGCUCAGAAUGCGCUCCGCCCGUGGCCCACGCACCUGGGGAUGAUCAGCACACCUGUGGCUGAUUACUAGAAUUAGUCCUACUUAAGAUGGUGAACCUGCUCUACUCGUCGCUGGAUCGUUGAGCCAUCAGCAUUCCCCCCGGACCCGUUUCCUUGUGUACUGUGACUGAGCAAGAGUAGUAGAGGAAAGAAGAGGAGCUGUGUGUGCUUGCGAGAGCUGUAUGGAAAUCUCCCCUCCCUGGACUCCUGCCCCUUUCACUCCCGGACCCUGGAACCACGGCCCCUUUUCCCCAGACACCGUUGUGUAUAUUUAUUUCACUGUGGAGAACACUGUAAAUAAAUUCACUUUUGGUUUGAAGGAACUUGUGGUCUGCGCCUGAGUCCGCUCCGCUAACCGUGACAAUACCACCUUUUUAAACGGUAACUGUAAAGGAAUACAGUUACUCUAUUUUGUAUUUUAAAUACACAACGGCGGUACAUGUAUUCCGUUACUCCCCAACACUGCAACCGUGAUGAACAAAGGAUGAACGCCUUGAGGCGACUUUUGUUGUGAUUUGGCGC
ensembl:lncRNA